rnacentral:rRNA from 1 species
AUUGAACGCUGGCGGCAUGCCUAACACAUGCAAGUCGAACGGCAGCGCGGGGGCAACCCUGGCGGCGAGUGGCGGACGGGUGAGGAAUACAUAGGAAUCUACCCUGUCGUGGGGGAUAACGUAGGGAAACUUACGCUAAUACCGCAUACGACCGAGAGGUGAAAGCGGCGGACCGCAAGGCGUCGCGCGGCUGGAUGAGCCUGUGUCCGAUUAGCUAGUUGGCGGGGUAAGAGCCCACCAAGGCGACGAUCGGUAGCUGGUCUGAGAGGAUGAUCAGCCACACUGGAACUGAGACACGGUCCAGACUCCUACGGGAGGCAGCAGUGGGGAAUAUUGGACAAUGGGCGCAAGCCUGAUCCAGCAAUGCCGCGUGGGUGAAGAAGGCCUUCGGGUUGUAAAGCCCUUUUGUACGGGAAGAAAUCCUGUCGGUUAAUACCCGGCGGGGAUGACGGUACCGUAAGAAUAAGCACCGGCUAACUUCGUGCCAGCAGCCGCAGUAAAAC